AUCUCUUCUUGGCCUUUUAGCUAAGAUCAAAUGUGGUAUCUGUUCUUAACAGGUUAAAAUCUGAUAUGUCCUCUAUUCAAGGUCAAUAUAUUCAAUGUAUUUUUGAGCAGGGAGAUGGAAUAGAAGCUUGCACAAUCCAUUCCAUACGUCCUCUAUUCAAGGUCAAUAUAUUCAAUGUAUUUUUG
rfam:Chlorocebus sabaeus isolate 1994-021 chromosome 13, whole genome shotgun sequence.